rnacentral:lncRNA from 1 species
ACACAGGGGCCAUUGUGACAUAUAUCCAGGCCAAUUGCCUAGGUGAAGUUUGUCUCCUUUCCUGCCUAAGCCCUGCCCACGGGGAAGAUUUAGAUAUAUCACUAAAACCAGCACCCAAGUGAUGUGACUCUUCACCAGAGUCCUGCCCACAAGGAGGAUUGUGACAUUUCACUGGACCAGCACCCACUCAGGUGGUAUUGCUCCAUAUGCCUGAGACCCUAACAAAAGCCUAAUUACAACUCAUAUGCCUGGAGCCAGGACAUGUGCAGGAUGGUGAUAUAACCCUCUUCUCUGGAAUGGGCCCCACACAAAGGAAGGAUAGUGACAUAUUGCAAGCCCAGGCACACAGGCCCAGAGCACAGUUGAAAUUGUGACAUAUGUACACCAAGCAACCAAGCAAUGUAUAACACCUCAUUUGGCAAUGGAAUCGAGGGCACUUUUACAUAUCACUGAGACCAGCGCCCAGCUGAUGUGAAAUAUUGGCCUGAACCCUGCCUACAAAAGCAUUGUGGCUUUUAUCUAGCUCCAUUACAUAAGUGAUGUGACUUCC